CCUACGGGAGGCAGCAGUGGGGAAUAUUGCGCAAUGGGCGAAAGCCUGACGCAGCGACGCCGCGUGAGGGAUGAAGGUCUUCGGAUCGUAAACCUCUGUCAGCAGGGAAGAACGGUCACUGUGCUAAUCAGCAGUGAAUUGACGGUACCUGCAAAGGAAGCACCGGCUAACUCCGUGCCAGCAGCCGCGGUAAUACGGAGGGUGCGAGCGUUAAUCGGAAUUAAUGGGCGUAAAGCGGUCGUAGGCGGUAUGGUAAGUCAAGGGUGAAAUCCCCGGGGUCAACGUGGGAACUGCCUUUGAAACUGGCAAACUGGAGUGUGUGAGAGGAUAGUGGAAUUCCAGGUGUAGGAGUGAAAUCCGUAGAUAUCUGGAGGAACAUCAGUGGCGAAGGCGACUAUCUGGCACAUAACUGACGCUGAGGAGCGAAAGCGUGGGUAGCAAACAGGAUUAGAUACCCGGGUAGUC
rnacentral:rRNA from 1 species